UCGUGCUUUUCGAUGAAAGUAUUUUUUCUUUUCUGACAUCAUGACGCACAUUUUAGUGAAAUGCUUUAACGACGAUAAGUGGGACGUUUAUCCGUUGAAGUCGUUGGCUGACCCAGCUACUAGUCUUCGACUGAUGUGCGAGCCUGUCUGUUUUGAUGAGCUGCGCGGCAGAGGUCAUGAUGCCUGUUGGAGAGAAGGCACCCCGAAACAGUCACAGCCGAACUUCUGCAGAUAGGUUACGCAUGCAGCAAAUACCCAGAUGCUAAAUUGUUCUACGUCAAGAGCAGCUUGGCGUCGUGCAAGAGACACCCGUUAAUAUGUGGCUGAUUCACUAGCAAGCUCGCAUCUCUGUUGCCACUCUCCAUCAAGUGGGAUUUUUAACUAUUUUUUGUGCUGCUGUGUGGUGUACUACCUGCCGCAUGGACGCUGUGAAGGCUUACUUUCGGUUUGCUCUGGCUUGGGAGGUAUUUCCUUUUGCUUGCGAGAAUGUUUAACAGCCUAACCAAGUGAUACGUGCGUACUGGAAACAGCAGCGCGAACAGAGGCGGACGACGGACGACGAAAUAGGUAGAAGCACGCACGAGCGCAAGUUUAUUUUUGAAGACAGAGGCAUUAAAGACGCUGGUCAACUUGACAAAGGUAAAGAGCCGUGCAUGCGUGGCAGAAACAGCCACGAGCGACAAGAAAAAGUAAAUAUGACAAAGCCAUGUCGUAGAAUAAGCGUGCGUGGAAAACGAGAACUAUCGGACAAAUCUUUCGAAAAAGCGAAAUAUUUGUCGGAUGAGUCAUACCACCCAACGAGAAAUACUCUUGAGAACUGGAAGUCUUCCCCACUAAGGGAAACAGAUAACUUGGUUAUGCAUUUGUUUCGUUUGUGAUAAAUAAAUAUUGCUUCUGGAACUCCUCUGGUGUUGAGGUAUAGAGCAGAAAGAACGGUUGUUUCAUCACAAAGGCCAGAACACAAGAGGACUUAUGGAAGAAUUAUUUAUUGAUCACGAAGAAAAAUUCGUAAGCAAGAUUUCUGUGACCCUUAGUGGGAAAGAGUUGCUGCAGUAUUUCUCGUUAAUAUCACUUAUAGGACAGACCUUUCAGUUUUCAUGUGUUUUUUUUUUUUUGACGCACAUGUUUGUU